rnacentral:rRNA from 1 species
CUACGGGAGGCAGCAGUGGGGAAUAUUGCACAAUGGGCGCAAGCCUGAUGCAGCAACGCCGCGUGAACGAAGAAGGUUUUCGGAUCGUAAAGUUCUUUUCUUGGGGAAGAAACCAUGACGGUACCCAAGGAAUAAGCACCGGCUAACUACGUGCCAGCAGCCGCGGUAAUACGUAGGGUGCAAGCGUUAUCCGGAAUCACUGGGCGUAAAGGGUGCGUAGGCGGUUUUACAAGUCAGAAGUGAAAGGCAAUGGCUCAACCAUUGUAAGCUUUUGAAACUGUAAGACUUGAAUGCAGGAGAGGUAAGUGGAAUUCCUAGUGUAGCGGUGAAAUGCGUAGAUAUUAGGAGGAACACCAGUGGCGAAGGCGACUUACUGGACUGUUAUUGACGCUGAGGCACGAAAGCGUGGGGAGCGAACAGGAUUAGAUACCCUGGUAGUC